rnacentral:rRNA from 1 species
UACGUAGGGAGCAAGCGUUGUCCGGAAUCAUUGGGCGUAAAGCGCGCGUAGGUGGCCUCAUAAGUCCGCUGUGAAAGUCAAAGGCUCAACCUUUGAAAGCCGGUGGAUACUGUGGGGCUAGAGUACGGAAGAGGCGAGUGGAAUUCCUGGUGUAGCGGUGGAAUGCGCAGAUAUCAGGAGGAACACCAAUAGCGAAGGCAGCUCGCUGGGACGAUACUGACGCUAAGGCGCGAAAGCGUGGGGAGCGAACAGG